rnacentral:lncRNA from 1 species
AAGAUAGAAUCUCGACUUGCUGAAACCACUCACAAAAUGAAAGAACUCAAGAAUUCAAGCACCACUGCAGGUGGCAUGGGAGAAAAAAGUGAUAUCAAGGAGCAAUCUCACGGAGAGGAAGAAGUUCAGACAGAAGUUGAUUCGAUUGCCAGUGAAGCAGAGAAGGAAGAGAAUGAAGGUAACAGAGAACAAUCUGAUGGAGACAAAGAAGGUCAGACAUCGGUUGAGUCUUCUUCUGUUCCAUUCAGAUUAAAAUACAAUAGCUUACCUUAUUACCUUAGAUCUUGUCUGAUGUAUUGUUGCAUCUUCCCUGAGAAUUACGGGAUAGCUAAGGGGAGAUUGAUCCGAUUGUUGGUAGCCGAAGGUCUGAUACAAGAAAAAGCUGGUCAAAUAGUGGAGGAUGUAGCAGAGGAAAAUAUAAAUGAUCUUGUGAGCCAGGGAAUGCUUCUAGUAAAUGAUGACCUCCGAGAUAAUGGAACUAAUUAAAGUCACUGUUUUCUCUCCUUAUCGUGUGUUCCU